rnacentral:rRNA from 1 species
CUUUUGUGGUUUUGGAUGGACUCGCGGCCUAUCAGCUUGUUGGUGGGGUAAUGGCCUACCAAGGCGACGACGGGUAGCCGGCCUGAGAGGGUGACCGGCCACACUGGGACUGAGACACGGCCCAGACUCCUACGGGAGGCAGCAGUGGGGAAUAUUGCACAAUGGGCGCAAGCCUGAUGCAGCGACGCCGCGUGAGGGAUGACGGCCUUCGGGUUGUAAACCUCUUUCAGUAGGGAAGAAGCGUAAGUGACGGUACCUGCAGAAGAAGCGCCGGCUAACUACG